rnacentral:rRNA from 1 species
UACGUAGGUGGCAAGCGUUGUCCGGAUUUACUGGGCGUAAAGAGCGCGCAGGCGGUCGUUCAAGUCGCGUGUGAAAGCCCCCGGCUCAACUGGGGAGGGUCACGCGAUACUGAUCGACUCGAAGGCAGGAGAGGGUAGUGGAAUUCCCGGUGUAGUGGUGAAAUACGUAGAUAUCCGGAAGAACACCGGUGGCGAAGGCGGCCUGCUGGGAUCUUGCUGACGCUGAGGCGCGACAGCGUGGGGAGCAAACAGG